GGUUUCGUGGUGUAGUUAGUUAUCAUACUGGUCUAACACACCGGUGUCCCUGGUUCGAGCCUGGGUGAAAUCA